rnacentral:rRNA from 1 species
UGGGAACCUGCCCUGUGGUACGGAACAACUCCGGGAAACUGGAGCUAAUACCGUAUGUGUCCUGCGGGACAAAGAUUGCAUCGCCAUGGGAGGGGCCCGCGUAGGAUUAGCUUGUUGGCGGGGUAACGGCCCACCAAGGCUCCGAUCCUUAGCUGGUCUGAGAGGAUGAUCAGCCACACUGGGACUGAGACACGGCCCAGACUCCUACGGGAGGCAG